rnacentral:misc_RNA from 1 species
GAUCAUUACAGAAUGAAAAGUGCUUAACUGCAUUUUUUCUUACACAUGUGUUUUUCUUUUUUUGAAAACUUUGCUUUGGUAGGCCUUCUAUAUGGGGCCUGCCAGAGAUUAAACUCAACCAAAUUUUAUUUAAUGUCAACCGAUUAUUUAAUAGUCAAAACUUUCAACAACGGAUCUCUUGGUUCUCGCAUCGAUGAAGAACGCAGCGAAAUGCGAUAAGUAAUAUGAAUUGCAGAUAUUCGUGAAUCAUCGAAUCUUUGAACGCACAUUGCGCCCUUUGGUAUUCCAAAGGGCAUGCCUGUUUGAGCGUCAUUUCUCCCUCAAACCCUCGGGUUUGGUGUUGAGCGAUACGCUGGGUUUGCUUGAAAGAAAGGCGGAGUAUAAACUAAUGGAUAGGUUUUUUCCACUCAUUGGUACAAACUCCAAAACUUCUUCCAAAUUCGACCUCAAAUCAGGUAGGACUACCCGCUGAACUUAAGCAUAUC